AUCUAAUUAAACAUGAACUGUCCAUCCAACAGAAAACAAUCGACGCUGCACCAUCCAGUUACAUCGCCCGGUUCAACUUGUUCAACAGCACAUAUCAGCUCUACACACACAGUUACCUUGGAAACGGCCUGUACGCAGCUCGGUUGGCUACGCUCGGAGCACUAGGAGCUGAUGGUCUAGAAUGGAAGAUCUUCAGAAGUUCCUGCCUCCCAAAAAAGUUCAGGGAAGAUGUGAGCUUUGGAGGAACCACCUACAAAGUUAGCGGGAUUCCAGACGGUGAGAUAAAAGCCCUCUGAGGUUUUGAUUGCCUUCCCAAGGCCUUGGAUUCAGCAAUGCGUGCAUUCCUUUUCUCAUUCUGGUACACAAUAGCUUACAGUAUUAUAAUUCUCCCAUGAGAACAUUUAUCUGCCGAAGUUUCUCCAACCUUGGCGCCAAAUGCAUGUUUUGUCAUCGUCUUUUCCCUCUUGAACAAUUAUAUUGUAGUCAACCUUGUAUUUAAAUGAAAGGAAAACUGUCAGUUAAGUUCACAAAUAAGGCAGUCACUCCCAUACCACAGUCAAGUAGCCAAAAGAUGCUG